rnacentral:rRNA from 1 species
UGGGGAAUAUUGGACAAUGGACCAAAAGUCUGAUCCAGCAAUUCUGUGUGCACGAUGACGUUUUUCGGAAUGUAAAGUGCUUUCAGUUGGGAAGAAAAAAAUGACGGUACCAACAGAAGAAGUGACGGCUAAAUACGUGCCAGCAGCCGCGGUAAUACGUAUGUCACAAGCGUUAUCCGGAUUUAUUGGGCGUAAAGCGCGUCUAGGUGGUUAUGUAAGUCUGAUGUGAAAAUGCAGGGCUCAACUCUGUAUUGCGUUGGAAACUGCAUGACUAGAGUACUGGAGAGGUAAGCGGAACUACAAGUGUAGAGGUGAAAUUCGUAGAUAUUUGUAGGAAUGCCGAUGGGGAAGCCAGCUUACUGGACAGAUACUGACGCUAAAGCGCGAAAGCGUGGGUAGCAAACAGGAUUAGAUACCCUGGUAGUCCACGCCGUAAACGAUGAUUACUAGGUGUUGGGGGUCGAACCUCAGCGCCCAAGCUAACGCGGUAAGUAAUCCGCCUGGGGAGUACGUACGCAAGUAUG